CAGUUGGUAGCUCAGUGCUAGAGUGCAUUCUUUGUGUGUAUGCCGUCCUGUGUUCAAAUCCCAGCUGCCCGU